rnacentral:rRNA from 1 species
UGAUCAGCAACACUGGGACUGAGACACUGCCCAGACUCCUACGGGAGGCUGCAGUCGAGAAUCAUUGUCAAUGCACGGAAGUGUGAACAUGCGACGCCGCGUGGAGGAAGACGGCCCUUGGGUAGUAAACUCCUGUCAGCAGGGAGUAAGGGUAGCAUUACUAAUAGUGGUGUUAUUUGAUAGUACCUGCAGAGGAAGUCACGGCUAACUCUGUGCCAGCAGCCGCGGUAAUACAGAGGUGGCAAACGUUGUUCGGAUUUACUGGGCGUAAAGGGUCCGCAGGUGGUCCGGUGUGUCGGAUGUGAAAGCUCACAGCUCAACUGUGGAAUUGCAUUCGAAACUGCCGGACUAGAGUACUGGAGGGGAGAAGGGAACACUUGGUGUAGCGGUGAAAUGCGUAGAUAUCAAGUGGAACACCGGAGGCGAAGGCGCUUCUCUGGACAGAUACUGACACUCAUGGACGAAAGUUAGGGUAGCGAAAGGGAUUAGAUACCCCUGUAGUCCUAACCGUAAACGGUGUGCACUAGACGUGGGUGGAGUUACCCCCAUCCGUGUCUGAGCUAACGCAUUAAGUGCACCGCCUGGGGAGUACGGUCGCAAGAUUAAAACUCAAAGGAAUUGACGGGGACCCGCACAAGCGGUGGAGCAUGUGGCUUAAUUCGAUGCAACGCGAAGAACCUUACCUGGACUUGACAUAUAGCUGCAUACGACCUGAAAGGGACGUAGCCUUCGAGGGUGCUAUACAGGUGCUGCAUGGCUGUCGUCAGCUCGUGCCGUGAGGUGUUGGGUUAAGUCCCGCAACGAGCGCAACCCCUGUGUUUAGUUGCCAGCACGUAAUGGUGGGAACUCUAAACAGACUGCUUGUGAAAACAAGAGGAAGGUGGGGAUGACGUCAAGUCAGUAUGGUCCUUAUGUCCAGGGCUGCACACGUGCUACAAUGGGCGAUACAAUAGGAAGCCAAGCCGCGAGGUGGAGCGAAUCCUCAAAAUCGUCCCCAGUUCGGAUUGUAGUCUGAAACUCGACUACAUGAAGUUGGAAUCGCUAGUAAAGGCGUAUCAGCUACGACGCCUUGAAUACGUUCCCGGGUCUUGUACACACCGCCCGUCACAUCAUGGAAGUUGGUUGCACCCGAAGUCGCUGAUCUAACCUGUUAAGGGAAGAAGGCGCCUAAGGUGUGAUUGAUGACUGGGAUGAAGUCGUAACAAGGUA